rnacentral:rRNA from 1 species
GACAGAGGUGCCGAGCGUUAGGCGGAAUCACUGGGCUUAAAGCGUGUGUAGGCGGAUCGUUAAGUACCUUGUGAAAUCCCACGGCUCAACCGUGGAACUGCUGGGUAUACUGGCGGUCUUGAGCCACCUAGGGGCGAGCGGAACAAGCGGUGGAGCGGUGAAAUGCGUAGAUAUCGCUUGGAACGCCAACGGUGAAAACAGCUCGCUGGGGGUGUGCUGACGCUGAGACACGAAAGCCAGGGUAGCGAACGGG